AAGACCUGAUUAGCGCAGGUGAACCGUGCAGAGUCCACCAGCACAGGUGAACCGUGCAGUCCCAGAUGCGCAAACGAGCUCCAGCAUGGACCGAGCAGGAGGUAGUGGAUCUCAUCACUGUUUGGGGAGAAGAAUCUGUUCAGGCAGAACUCCGUUCCAAAAAACGGACCGCAAACAAAUUUGUGAAAAUCUCCCGGGUAAUGACGGACAUAGGCUACUCCAGGGACACACAGCAAUGCCGUGUGAAAAUCAAGGAGCUCAGGCAAGCCUACCAAAAGACUAGAGAGGCAAAUGGGAGUUCCAGCUCGCAGCCCCAUACAUGCCGUUUCUACGAUGAGCUGCACGCCACCACUACCCCACCACUGUCCAUGGACACCUGCAAGGGGGACUCUCACGGAGUGGGGAGGAUGAUUUUUUGGAGGAGGAAGAGGAGAAGGAGGAGGACAGUGCAUGGGCAGCAAGCGGUGAAUCCGUUCUCCCCGGCAGGCAGGAACUGUUCAUCACCCUGGAGCCAAUACCCUCCACCCCCUCCCAAGGUGGGCUCCGAGACCAUGACGCCGGAGAAGGCACUUCUGGUGCAAAUGUUUCAACGUGCCUCCUAUCAACUCCGUCCCAGAGGCUGGUCCAGAUUAGAAGGCGGAAAAAACGCACUCGGGAUGACAUGUUUGCAGAGCUUAUGCAGUCCUCCUGCACUAAUAGGGCCCAGCUGAAUGCGUGGAGGAAAACAAUGGCAGAGUCCCGGAAAGCGUUCAAUGACCGCAAUGAGAGGAGGCAGGUGCGUGAUGAGAGCAGACAAGAUGCCAUGCUCAAGGUGAUGGGGAAGCAAACUGACAUGCUCCGCUGUCUGGUGGGUCUUAUGGGGGAAAGGCAGCAAGAGCACAGACAGCCGCUGCAGCCCCUGUAUAACCGCCCUCCCUCCCCAAGUUCAAUAGCCUCCUCACCCAGACGCCCAAGAACACGGAAGGGGAGGCUCCGGAGACCCACCCACUCCACCCCAUAGGAUUGCCCAAACAGCAGAAGGCUGGCAUAUUCUUAAAUUUUGAUUUGUAGAGUGGCCUUGUCCUUCCCUCCUCCCUCCCUGCCCCACCUGACCCGGGCUACCUUGUGAUUUAUCUCCCUGUGUUUUUAAUCAACUAAUAAAGCAUGGGCGGUUGGCUUACAGGCAAUUAGAAUCAAGAAAGGGGGUGGGUAACAUCAAAGAGAAACAAACAGAACUGUCACACUGUAGCCUGGACAGUCAUGAAGCUGGUUUUCAAAGCUUCUCUGAUGCGCAGGACGCCCUGCUGUGCUCGUCUAAUCGCCAUGGUAUCUGGCUGCACGGAAUUGGCCGCCAGGUGAUUUGCCUUGACCUCCCACCCUGCCAUAAAUGUCUCCCCCUUACUCUCACAGAGAUUGUGGAGCACACAGCAAGCAGCAAU